rnacentral:tRNA from 1 species
GCUUGGGUGGCUCAGUCGGUUAAGCGCCUGACUUCAGCUCAGGUCAUGAUCUCAUGGUUUGUGGGUUCAAGCCCCGUGUCAGGCU